CCUACGGGAGGCAGCAGUGAGGAAUAUUGGUCAAUGGACGAGAUUCUGAACCAGCCAAGUCGCGUGAAGGAUGACUGCCCUAUGGGUUGUAAACUUCUUUUGUAUGGGAAUAAAACCCGGUAUGCAUACCCUCUUGUGUGUACCAUAUGAAUAAGGAUCGGCUAACUCCGUGCCAGCAGCCGCGGUAAUACGGAGGAUGCGAGCGUUAUCCGGAUUUAUUGGGUUUAAAGGGUGCGCAGGCGGUAGAUCAAGUCAGCGGUAAAAUGGCGGGGCUCAACCCCGUCCGGCCGUUGAAACUGGUUGUCUAGAGUUGGCGAGAAGUACGCGGAAUGCGCGGUGUAGCGGUGAAAUGCAUAGAUAUCACGAAGAACUCCGAUUGCGAAGGCAGCAUACCGGCGCCAGACUGACGCUGAGGCACGAAAGCGUGGGGAUCGAACAGGAUUAGAUACCCUAGUAGUC
rnacentral:rRNA from 1 species